AGGCUUGUAGCUCAGGUGGUUAGAGCGCUCCCCUGAUAAGGGUGAGGUCGGUGGUUCAAGUCCACUCAGGCCUACCA
rnacentral:tRNA from 1 species